rnacentral:misc_RNA from 1 species
ACGUUCCCGCUCGUUGGUGCACAGCCAAUAGGAAAUCGUCGGCAACGUUAAUUACGUUUGCGUUCUCGUAAGUGGAACUCAUACCAACGAUUGAAUAUUCGUGCGUCGGCGAGAGGAUGAUGCCAUGACGAGUUGACGACGACGAUGAUGUAGGCCCGUUUGGCUUCCAGACUCGAAUUAUUUUUGGGUGGUCAAAGUUGACAGCGUAAUGGCUACGGCCAGCUAUACCACCGCGCGGGUGCUUCAUUUCUUCGAACCACACACCCCUCUCUCCUAUUUUACAUCACAAUAAUAGGGAGGACAAUGGACAAUACUUUGUGCGUGGGGAACAACAAUAAUUGUGUGGCGCAACUGUGGGUUGACUUGCAACAAGGGCUAGCCUCACUGUCCUACUGUCAAUAUUAUCCACGUGUACAAUGUACACGGCGAGUUCACUCAACUGUUAUCACUGAGUGACUGCCAUGUUUUUGGCUAACCCAAAUACAUGCACUUCCCCCACGGUUCACUGAUCAUGGGUGUAGGCCAAAUAAUUUUUACAGCAACAAUGCAGAACCAUUGCUUAGUGUGUGAUUCAUACGUAGGGUAAUAACAAUUAAGGACUCGCCCUGAACAGUUAUUUGGAAAGUUCAUUCAUAACCUUUCCCUCUCUCCCGUGCAGAGUGAUUUUCUCUGCUUUCUUAGCCAUACAAUUUUAGACGGGUUCAUCAGAAGUCGUCACUGGCCUUUUGAUCACUUUCGUACCACCUCGGGGAUAACUUGAAAAAAUUAAUCGGCUGUGGACUCCAUGACGUUUGUGGAACUUGUGGAACUGUGAGUGGAAAUACAUCAACUGCGUGGAUCAGGGAAGCCAAUGCAAAAAAAAAUGGCCGAUGUUCGAAUUCACAACUGGUGGUUAAUUUGUGCUUUACUGCUUGAAAUCGGCAGUAAUUCUGCAGCUCUGGCAGCGGAGAAUGACCUUCAACUGGUUGGAAGUGAUCGAACCUUUGAAGGCAAAUUGAUGAUACAGCAUGCUGGGGCUUGGAGGACAGUGUGUUACGACGGAUGGACACAUGAGGAUGCAUCUACUGCUUGCAGGCAACUAGGAUACUCACAGGGUGCGAUGAUUACCAGAGCAAAUGAUGGAACUUUUGCUGGCCCAGCAGCUACCCCCACCCUUCGAUCACCGGGUUGCACUGCAUCACACCACCGGCUCACUGAUUGCACCGAUUUCCAGUAUCAGGAGAAUUUGACAUGCACCAGUGAGGUUGACUUGAGUUGCUAUGCCAAUGACUUCAAUGGUUGUUUCUCGAACACACCCCAAUCUUGGAAUAUGGAUGAAAAACUACCUGGUGCAUCAAAUAGCAUUGAGUCGUGUCUGGAUUUCUGCAGGAGCUCAUCACUCAAUCCAAGAUUUGCGGCACUUGCUGAAAGUCGGUGUUUUUGUGGCUCUGAUGAGGGUAACAUGGGUAGCGUUGUCUCCAAACUCAACUGUGCAUUGCCAUGCAGUGGGGACCCCAUGGAAGCAUGUGGAUCUAAUACUAAUGGCUACUUUGCAAUAUGGCCAGUUACUGUUGGUGCACCUGGGGGCGCAUGGACCACCGCAACUGGCUGUCUGUACUCGCGUGACUUCCCAGCUCGAUACCAGACCACGCGCAUGACAACCACUGAUGAGUACACAGUGACUCUACCCACGCGUGCCUACAUCUCUCUCAUGUUCAAGAGCUUCGACAUCUACAGCGGUGACAGCGUUAAGUUGAGAGACAAGUCCGCUGGGUCGGCAAUGACGACAGUGGAUCUGACUCCGCCCAGCUCGCCAGGGACUGCUGUCAUACCAUUGGAUUUUCGAGUGUCAAGAUUUUCACUGCUGUUCGUUUUGGCAGCCAACUCGCCUUCAGGGAGUAAUUAUGGUUUUGUCAUCUGCUAUGAAUCACUUGUGGAACUUCCUACCGAACCCCCUACUGUACCUUCAACUGUGCCUCCUACUGUGCCAGCAACUGACCCACCAACUGACCCACCAAUUGACCCACCAACCAUCCCCCUGACAGCUCCCCAAACCGAUGCUCCACAGCCACAGACCUUGCCUCCAGUUGGCCCUACUAUUGGUCAGCCCACAGACUCUCCGGAUUCAUGGACGACUCCCAGUCCAGAUGCUAUAAUGAGUACCGAUGUGCUGGCCAUUGAUAGCACCUCGGAACCACCAACUAGUACAAUUGAUGACCAAGAUACGGUCAUGAUGUGUCCUGCUUAUCAGGGGGCUCCUCUGGAAAACAGAACGGGUAGCGAAACAAUGACUGACAUUCUUCUCAUCAACACUGGCAAUCCCUUCAACUGCAGUGGUUUCUUGACCAACAUUAGUUAUUUUUCUGCUGGCGACCAUGCAUUGGAAGUCAGUAUAUGGCAACCUAAUCACAAUGGAGACACAGAUGAGUGGCUGUACAGCUUAUCUGCCACGGCCGCUCUAGAAGGAGCACACCCGGGGAUUGCAUCAGUUUCACUCAACAGGGAUGACUGGCUUCCUUUUGGUCCUGGGGAUGUGAUGGGAAUCCGCUUUCAGACCUCACCACUGAUGUUCAGCGAUGUAAUCUCAUCAGAUGAGGAAGCCACACUUUGGAUGAGAUGGAAUCUUGAAGAUGGAAGUGUAGCUGGCUCCAUCAUGGAGAAGAGGGACACGGUCAAUGCCACUGCUCUCAACCGUACUUACUCCAUCUCUGCAACCUUGAGAGACAAAGCUCACUGUUUGGUCCCUAAUGUUCCCAACGUUGCUUCCACCGAUGCCAUUGUACCUUACGUGUACGAGGGAGACGACUACUUACUAGAUUGCAGAGCGGGCUACCGACCAGUUGGAGGGCGAGUUUACAUGUGUCAAUCUACUGGGAGAUUUGAUAGAAACUUGGAAUGCCAAGACGAUGGAAGUUCCCCAUUACCAAUCUUCACCGUGGUGAUCCUGUGUGUUGUUGUCUUGGUAUUGAUCUGUCUGACUGUGUUUGUCAUCACCUGCAUGAUGAUGUGUUGCAGUUCUGGGGCCAAGCGCUCUGGGGAAUCUGCACCUGCCAAUGUGAAGACGGAGGCUGACACCAGCUCCAAGUCUAUAGACCAGCCAGAUGCUGGCAUGGGUGAUACCAAUAGCAUGGAUGACAACCAAUUCCUCAUCAACAUUGACUCAGAAAAUGGCGAGCCAGAUGAAGUUGCCAACCCUGUGGCAGAACAGGGUUUGGAAGUGCCAGCGCCUGAGGAGACUUCACCCCUACCGGACUCAGAUGCCCACGGCAUGGAGAAUGGCAUUGCUAACCCAGAGGCCAAUGUGGAGGGCACCCCAGUCAUGGAGAACCCUGUUCAUGAUUCUGAUGUCUAAAUUUAACAACUGCCUGUGAACAUCUGAAGAAAUGCUUUACAUGUUCUGGUGAGUUGUGGUGAUAUUCCUGGCUUAAAAGGAUGUGUUGGAGUAAAGGAGAGAUGUAUUCACAACAUCCUAUGAAGUUGAAGGUGUGUCGCAUGACCUGAUGAUGGAUGAGUAUGCCAAUGUAAAACCGUGUCUAAGCACAAGUUAUUAUAUGGGAUACUGUUACAAGUUUCCCAACAUUGUUAGUACAUUAUCUUUAAAACUGUGGUGGUGGUCAUUUAAGUAUUCAUCAAAAGGAAAUUCAUAUACACUCAAGACAGUUUACCCAUUCCUACUGGUCAAGAGCCUGUCACAUAGGUGGUUUUAAAUGGUUGAUAAAACACCAACUGGUUUUAUACACUUUUCCCCGGCACUGCUUUGUUCUGCGCCACAUUGUGCAGUAUGCACCACGCGUGUGCGAAUCUCCAUGGACUUAUUCACGAGAAAGCCAUUUUGGUCGGGUUCCCUGAAUGUAUUUUAUUAACCCUAACUUCCUAGGGGGUGUGCAAAAUUGUUGCAUGGGAGGAUGCCAGAUUAUUUAUACAUUCUAGCCUCACUUUCAUUUUUUGUGACUUAAACAUUAGGGUAUAUUUAAUCACAAAUUGUACAUUAUUCAUUAGAGCAGACUGGUAUAAUGCGUCAUUAACUUUGUCAUUACUUUCAUUUCUCUUCGCAAGUUCUAAAAAUGAAGAUUUUACCUCACUUUACAUUCAAUAUGGCCGACUUGUGAAUAAGGCCCAUAUAAAGAAAUUUUUAGUACUACUCACGUGAGGCACAUACCAUAAAGCUGGAGGGGUGUUUCACAAAACAUGAAGUAAACUUGUUAAAGAAAAUCGUUGGAAAUUUAUAAUUUGUGACUUGUUUUGAUUUUUUGACCGAAAGGUACAGGAAUAAAUAUGUGCUUUGCCGGCAUUAAACAAGUACUUUCAAAACCCGGUAGGAGCUUGUUCACAGAUUAUCCACGUACUUGUUUAAAACCGGCCAUCACAAAUGUAUUCCCCUUUUAAUAUACUGGGUGUUUUAAAAAAAAAAAGAUAAUCCUAAUUUAAAGGGUUAAUACGGCCAGAAUAUAUGUUUACCAGCAGAAAGUAAAAGCUACAUGCUUUUCAAUGAUACCUUGGUUACUUUCCAGGGUCAUGCAUUAUUGAGCUCCAUUUUCUUGAAAACAUGGUGCAAAAUUGGGGUUGGUUCACUUUCUUGUCAAACAAUAUCGACACAGUGUGCUGGAAGACAUUCAAGAUGAAAGAGCACAACCACUUACAAAAUUGAAGAAGACUCAGGUUCUUGUAUAAUCUUGAAUUUUAUUCAUGAGUACUAGUUCAACUUUCCACUUGCAACACCAGGAAAAUGUAAUCUUCAGUUUAUCUGUGGUGGGCUCAAGAUGGCACACCAGCCCACCAUUUCCUUGCUGUUCGAAAUCGCCUGUGGGAAUGCUUUCACAAACGAGACUUUGCCACCCCGGUAGUCCCCAGGCCACCAGACCUCAUGCCAUGUGACUUUUUUGGGGGGGUCAUUUGAAGAACAAAGUGUUCAGCACCCUACUGCGCAACAUGCAGGAUUUGCGUAACUGGCUUUGGUGCGAAGUGGAUAUUUUGUGAGAAGAUCCAGAUACCGUGAGCUGUGGACAACAUGCGGCGUCGAUGUCAACUGUGUUUGGAGAGGGGAGACCAGGAGAGUGCCUUGGCAAGUGAGGGAAAAUCAGAAACUUAUGCUUAAAAAUGUUUCACUCAUUAAUAAAAUUGACCUAUCGCUGUUUACCAACCCCCUUAGACAACCCUAUGGAAUUCUUGUUCGUAAGUUUUUUUGUCUC